rnacentral:rRNA from 1 species
GAUGAACGCUGGCGGCGUGCCUAAUACAUGCAAGUCGAGCGAACGGACGAGAAGCUUGCUUCUCUGAUGUUAGCGGCGGACGGGUGAGUAACACGUGGAUAACCUACCUAUAAGACUGGGAUAACUUCGGGAAACCGGAGCUAAUACCGGAUAAUAUUUUGAACCGCAUGGUUCAAAAGUGAAAGACGGUCUUGCUGUCACUUAUAGAUGGAUCCGGGCUGCAUUAGCUAGUUGGUAAGGUAACGGCUUACCAAGGCAACGAUGCAUAGCCGACCUGAGAGGGUGAUCGGCCGCACUGGAACUGAGACACGGUCCAGACUCCUGCGGGACGCAGCAGUAGGCAAUCUUCCGCAGUGGGCGAAAGCCUGACGGAGCAACGCCGAGUGAGAGAUGAAGGUCUUCGGAUCGUAAAACUCUGUUAUUAGGGAAGAACAUAUGUGUAAGUAACUGUGCACAUCUUGACGGUACCUAAUCAGAAAGCAACGGCUAACUACGUG